rnacentral:rRNA from 1 species
UACGUAGGGUGCAAGCGUUGUCCGGAAUUAUUGGGCGUAAAGAGCUCGUAGGCGGUUUGUCGCGUCUGCUGUGAAAACUCAGGGCUUAACCCUGAGCCUGCAGUGGGUACGGGCAGACUAGAGUGUGGUAGGGGAGAUCGGAAUUCCUGGUGUAGCGGUGGAAUGCGCAGAUAUCAGGAGGAACACCGGUGGCGAAGGCGGGAUCGCUGGGCAGUGAACUGACGCUGAGGAGCGAAAGCGUGGGGGAGC